rnacentral:hammerhead_ribozyme from 11 species
GGUGAGUCCAUAGCAGUGCUCUGCUGAUGAGCUCUAAUAAGAGCGAAACUCGAG